GAUGAACGCUGGCGGCAGGCCUAACACAUGCAAGUCGAACGCUGUAGCAAUACAGAGUGGCGCACGGGUGCGUAACGCGUGGGAAUAUACCCUUCACUGCGGAAUAACGUUUGGAAACGAACGCUAAUACCGCAUAAUGACUCCGGUCCAGAGAUUUAUCGGUGAAGGAUUAGCCCGCGUUAGAUUAGCUAGUUGGUGAGGUAAAAGCUCACCAAGGCGACGAUCUAUAGCUGGUCUGAGAGGAUGAUCAGCCACACUGGGACUGAGACACGGCCCAGACCCCUACGGGAGGCAGCAGUGGGGAAUAUUGGACAAUGGGCGCAAGCCUGAUCCAGCCAUGCCGCGUGAGUGAUGAAGGUCUUAGGAUUGUAAAGCUCUUUCACCGAUGAAGAUAAUGACGGUAGUCGGAGAAGAAGCCCCGGCUAACUUCGUGCCAGCAGCCGCCGCAG
rnacentral:rRNA from 1 species